rnacentral:rRNA from 1 species
UACGUAGGGGGCAAGCGUUGUCCGGAAUUACUGGGCGUAAAGGGUGCGUAGGCGGCCGAUUAAGUCAGAUGUGAAAUACCACGGCUCAACUGUGGGGGUGCAUAUGAAACUGGUUGGCUUGAGUGCAGGAGAGGAAAGUGGAAUUCCUAGUGUAGCGGUGAAAUGCGUAGAUAUUAGGAGGAAUACCAGUGGCGAAGGCGACUUUCUGGACUGUAACUGACACUGAGGCACGAAAGCGUGGGGAGCAAACAGG